CCCCCAAAGUUUACUCAACUCCACCUGGCAAUUCAGCUCUUCAAGAUAAAGGAGGUUUUCUCUGGGGGAAACCAGUAGCAGUUUAUCUUCUUUUUGUUCUGCUGCUGGUAUACAGCUGGUUGGCCAUUGAACAGAGUCAUCUGCCAGUGAGAGGUCCCAUAAUCAUUCUCUUGGAGAAAGUGACAAGGAAAGCAAAUGUGGAAGACAGCAGGGUGUGAAUUGAUCCACUGAUGGAACGCUAAGCAACAAAGACAUUCAUGCUGUGACCUGUACACCUGUGAAAACUCCUCCAUAUUCAAGUUUGAAUGCAGAAGAAAGACAACGGCCUUUUCCAAGUCCAGCCGAUCCUCAUGUUAUGGGUUGAACUCUGUCCAGCUAAUGCAGAAAAGGAAAUGAAGACACAGAAUGUUAAAUGACUUGCCCGUGGUCUGACACACAUGUUGUGAGUCACAGAGAUUGGAUUUGAACCUUCAGAAACUCAAAGGCCACUCUGUACUCUGACAACAAUGGAGACUGCUGUGGAGGGUUAACUUCAUGCUGGUGAGAACUACCAAUGCUGUGAUUCAAAACCUGAAACAGGGCCACUUGUUGUGGGGACUGUCCUAUGCACUGCUGAUGUUUAGUGACAUCAUCCACCUCUACUCUCAGGAUUCCUCAUUCUCUGAACCAUAGCAGAACUGUCUUCAGAUGUUGGCAGCCACUUAAGCUUAGUGUAAUUAUGGAAUCAUUUCUAGGAGUUAUUUGUAGAGGUUACACAAACUCUUCCACACAGCAUUUCCAUGGGGACUGUACGUACAGCCAUGCCUAAAGGUGGGGUUGUUCUAGCAGAGGGUAGAGCCUGAGCUGACAAAUGGAGACAUCAGCUGAACUAUCCUACUGUUGAAUCUCCCUCCUUUUUGUCAGUUGGGGAAUCCUUAGGGACUUGUGUUUCUUCAGAUUUGCAACACCAAGUGACUAUGGGGUUCUGCCCUCACAGUGACAUCAGCAUUUCUGCCACAAAUUCUAGAGCCUUUGAGGCUGACGAAGAAAAGAUAAAAGCCACCUUUGUCUGCUAUUUACAUUUUUGCACACUCUGUUGCAUCUACCUGGAAUGCUCCCCCUUUGUUUUGCUUUUAGCUGUCUCAAUUAUAACCUCAUGACAAAAUCAUAAUCUUCCUUGGUGAAAUCAUCAGAAAUCAUCAAGUAUGUGUGUCGGCUUAUCUGAGGGAUGUUGGUCUUCACUCCCCGCCCACAGCUGCAAUGUAAGCUCCAUGCAACAUGAACUCACUGCCCUAUCUCUGAUUCAUAAGGGGAGAAAAUGAUGACUACGUAAGGACAUUCAAUAAAUGUGUUGAAUCAAUUCGCUAA